rnacentral:rRNA from 1 species
CACGUAGUUAGCCGUGGCUUUCUAUUCCGGUACCGUCACUUUUCUGCAUUAUUCACACAGAACUCUUUCGUCCCGAUUAACAGAGCUUUACAAUCCGAAGACCUUCAUCACUCACGCGGCGUUGCUCCGUCAGACUUUCGUCCAUUGCGGAAGAUUCCCCACUGCUGCCUCCCGUAGGAGUUUGGGCCGUGUCUCAGUCCCAAUGUGGCCGUUCAUCCUCUCAGACCGGCUACUGAUCAUUGCCUUGGUGGGCCGUUACCCCUCCAACUAGCUAAUCAGACGCAAUCCCCUCCUUCAGCGAUAGCUUAUAUAUAGAGGCCACCUUUCAUUCACAAGCGAUGCCGCCUAUGAAUCGUACGCGGUAUUAGCAACGGUUUCCCGUUGUUAUCCCCCUCUGAAGGGCAGGUUGAUUACGCGUUACUCACCCGUUCGCCACUAACUUCAAGAGAGCAAGCUCUCUGUCUGUCCGUUCGACUUGCAUGUGUUAAGCACGCCGCC